UACGUAGGGGGCGAGCGUUGUCCGGAAUUAUUGGGCGUAAAGAGCGUGUAGGCGGUUCGGUAAGUCUGCCGUGAAAACCUGGGGCUCAACCCCUGGACUGCGCUUGAUACUUCCGUGCUAGAACUUUGGAGAGGAGUCUGGAAUUCUCGGUGUAGUGGUGAAAUGCGUAGAUAUCAGGAGGAACACCAACGGCGAAGGCAGCGCGCUGGGCCGGAACUGACGCUGAGGAGCGAAAGCGUGGGUAGCGAACAGG
rnacentral:rRNA from 1 species